GCCGGAGUGGUGAAACUGGUAGACGCGCCGGACUCAAAAUCCGGUACCCGAGAGGGUGUGUCGGUUCGAGCCCGACCUCCGGUA
rnacentral:tRNA from 1 species